rnacentral:rRNA from 1 species
AGGGCCGGUUCCUGUCCAAAGUCGGGAUUGUGAAAAUUCCCCCGGGGCUCAAACCUGGGGAAAUUGCAUUCCGAAAACGGGCAGGGCUAAGAGUCUUUGUAGAGGGGGGGUAGAAUUCCCAGGUGGUAGCGGGUGAAAAUGCGUAGAGAUCUGGAGGAAUACCGGUGGCGAAGGCGGCCCCCCUGGACAAAAGACUGACGCUCAGGUGCGAAAGCGUGGGGAGCAAACAGGAUUAGAUACCCUGGUAGUUCACGCCGUAAACGAUGUCGAUUUGGAGGUUGUGCCCCUGAGGCGUGGCUUCCGGAGCUAACGCGUUAAAUCGACCGCCUGGGGAGUACGGCCGCAAGGUUAAAACUCAAAUGAAUUGACGGGGGCCCGCACAAGCGGUGGAGCAUGUGGUUUAAUUCGAUGCAACGCGAAGAACCUUACCUGGUCUUGACAUCCACAGAACUUAGCAGAGAUGCUUUGGUGCCUUCGGGAACUGUGAGACAGGUGCUGCAUGGCUGUCGUCAGCUCGUGUUGUGAAAUGUUGGGUUAAGUCCCGCAACGAGCGCAACCCUUAUCCUUUGUUGCCAGCGGUUAGGCCGGGAACUCAAAGGAGACUGCCAGUGAUAAACUGGAGGAAGGUGGGGAUGACGUCAAGUCAUCAUGGCCCUUACGACCAGGGCUACACACGUGCUACAAUGGCAUAUACAAAGAGAAGCGACCUCGCGAGAGCAAGCGGACCUCAUAAAGUAUGUCGUAGUCCGGAUUGGAGUCUGCAACUCGACUCCAUGAAGUCGGAAUCGCUAGUAAUCGUAGAUCAGAAUGCUACGGUGAAUACGUUCCCGGGCCUUGUACACACCGCCCGUCACACCAUGGGAGUGGGUUGCAAAAGAAGUAGGUAGCUUAACCUUCGGGAGGGCGCUUACCAUCUUUGGAUGCAUGUCCG